rnacentral:rRNA from 1 species
UACGUAGGGGGCGAGCGUUGUCCGGAAUCAUUGGGCGUAAAGAGCUCGUAGGCGGUUCAGUAAGUCAGGUGUGAAAGCUCCGGGCUCAACUCGGAGAGGCCACCUGAUACUGCUGUGACUAGAAUCCAGUAGGGGAGUGUGGAACUCCUGGUGUAGCGGUGAAAUGCGCAGAUAUCAGGAAGAACACCAGCGGCGAAGGCGGCACUCUGGGCUGGAAUUGACGCUGAGGAGCGAAAGUGUGGGUAGCAAACAGG